GACGAACGCUGGCGGCGUGCUUAAUACAUGCAAGUCAACUGAACUUGAGAUAGCAAUAUUGGUUAGCUAGAGCGGCGCACGGGUGAGUAACGCGUACAUAACCUACCCUAUACUGGGGGAUAGCCUUGGGAAACUGAGAUUAAUACCCCAUGGUAUUAUUUGGCCACCUGGUUGAAUAAUUAAAGUUGCGGCGGUAUAGGAUGGGUGUGCGUCUGAUUAGCUAGUUGGUAGGGUAACGGCCUACCAAGGCGAUGAUCAGUAGGGGGCGUGAGAGCGUGGUCCCCCACACGGGUACUGAGACACGGACCCGACUCCUACGGGAGGCAGCAGUAAGGAAUAUUGGUCAAUGGAGGAAACUCUGAACCAGCUAUCCCGCGUGAAGGAUGAAGGGGCUCUGCCUUGUAAACUUCUUUUGUCUGGGGGCGAAAAAGACUCGUUUUACGAGUAACUGACGGUACCAGAAGAAUAAGCACCGGCUAACUCCGUG
rnacentral:rRNA from 1 species